rnacentral:tRNA from 2 species
GCCAGGGUAGCUCAGUUGGUAGAGCGCGUACUUAUGCGUGUCUUGUUGAGACGCUUACAGCAACUUUCUAUGGACUGUUAAUCCCGUGGUCGUGGGUUCGAGUCCCACCCCUGGCA